rnacentral:rRNA from 1 species
GGGGAAUAUUGCACAAUGGGGGAAACCCUGAUGCAGCGACGCCGCGUGAGUGAAGAAGUAUUUCGGUACUUAAAGCUCUAUCAGCAGGGAAGAAAAUGACGGUACCUGACUAAGAAGCCCCGGCUAACUAC